UACGUAGGGGGCUAGCGUUGUCCGGAUUUAUUGGGCGUAAAGAGCGUGUAGGCGGCCAGGUAGGUCCGUUGUGAAAACUCGAGGCUCAACCUCGAGACGUCGGCGGAAACCCUCUGGCUAGAGUCCGGAGGAGGAGAGUGGAAUUCCUGGUGUAGCGGUGAAAUGCGCAGAUAUCAGGAAGAACACCCGUGGCGAAGGCGGCUCUCUGGGACGGUACUGACGCUGAGACGCGAAAGCGUGGGGAGCAAACAGG
rnacentral:rRNA from 1 species